GCGGCGGGGGCGGGCGGCCCGGCCGGUCGGGCGGGUGCGGAAGGCGCGCUGGGCCCGGGCUGGGUCCGAGCGUCCUGCGGGGGCCAUGGAGGGGCUGCGGCGGGGUCUGUCGCGCUGGAAGCGCUACCACAUCAAGGUGCACCUGGCGGACGAGGCGCUGCUGCUGCCGCUCACCGUGCGGCCGCGCGACACGCUCAGCGACCUGCGCGCCCAGCUCGUGGGCCAGGGCGUGAGCUCCUGGAAGCGCACCUUCUACUACAACGCGCGGCGGCUGGACGACCACCAGACUGUGCGCGACGUGCGCCUGCAGGACGGCUCGGUGCUGCUGCUCGUCAGCGACCCCAGGUAGUCUGGGUUGGAGGACAUGGAGCCAUGACCAGGGGGAACAGGGGUGCUGGCUGAAGGAGGAGGCUGAGGUGGGGGCAUCUCCCAGGAGCUUUGACCUCACUCUAGGUUCUGGGCUCCCAGGGUGGAUGGUGAAACACUGGCCAGCUGAUACCCACUGCCUGGGACACUCAUGAUGGAGCCCCAGUCCCUGACAUUGACCUAGGAUGUUGCCGCUCCGGCCCAGCCAGCCUUCCAGCUGUGCUCUCUGAUUCUGAAGCCACUGCUCCCACCUUAGGGCUUCAAAUGCUGGGUCUACAGUGGGAACCAUCAUGGAACCUUGGGAGACAGCCAGAGGAUAUCACAUGAAGAGAAGCACAGCGGGGAGAGGAGAGGAGGUUGGGGAUGUCACCUCACCUGCCUCUACAUUCUCUCCUCCACGCCUCUGCCCAAGCUGUUCUCCCUGCCUGAAGCACCUUUCACAUCCCUCUCUGCAAGCUCCAGGCCACCUGGGAUUCCAGCCUCCUCCAGGAAGCCUUCUUGGAUGCCCUCCUCCCCAGCCAGUGAGCAACUUAACCUCUUCUGGGCCCCCACCAGACCCCUCUACUGUGAACAGCCUUGGCUAGGGGUGCGGCCAGACACUCAUGAAAUCUCAGAUGACUAGAGGAGACUGGGGAACCCCAACCCUCUCUCAGUGCUUGAGGGUCACACUGGGCCCCUCCCCCAACCUAAUCACCCAUUGUACCCGUGCUGCCCCUGCCCUACCCCCUGCGACAAUGACUGUCAGGUUAAAUCCCAGAGCUGCGGCCCCUGCACGGGGUCUUCUGGCUGUGUCUGAAGGGCUCUGGAUGAGUGGGUGGGGAUUGGAGGGGGUGGUCUGUGCCUGGCAGAGAGCUGAGACAUUGAUGCUAAUCGUGGGAUUAUUCCAGGCAGUGUGUUGUAGAAAUUCUGGGUACAAGACCCUCCAGAUGGAACGCUGGGCCUCAGCUGGAUUUUUGAUCUGUGGCCACGAGGCGUUGGAUCCUCUAAGCAGACCCCAGGGGUGGGGGCACUGGGCCUGCCAGUGCCCUCCAGGUGUUGGUGUCACAGGGCAGAGCCUGGGGAGCCUGGGAAGAAAUAAUGUUUUAAUUAAGAGUCGUGUUGGCCGCAGGGCCCGGAGCAGGGACAGGUGGAUAAUAAAUCGUGGCUGCGGGGAGACCCGGGCCCAGACCGUGUGUUUACCUAUCAUGGGGUGGGGAGGGCACCAGCCUGCCAGACUCUGCUCACCUCCCCUCAGCAGAGCCUCUCUGGGCUGGCAUCUGUCCUCCUGGGGCCAAGUAGCCUAGACCCCUGCUCCUGCCUGGUUUUGGCCUCGGGGGUCCCUGGACCACAUGCAAAUAACUAAUCUACAGGCCCUGGGACUCCCCUGUUUGCACAAUCCCCUGCAAACCCUGGGGACCUGCCUCCUAGGGCCCAACAGGAGAGUUGGGUUUGUAAUAGUCACCACAGCUCCAUUCCUGGGCUCCCACUACACUGCCAGGGCCUGGGCAACAUCCUUGCCUGGCCUUGAGUUGCACUGGUCUGCCAACUGAGAGGCUUGGUGAUGGUGGUGAUGAUUGCUGCCCAUUUUACAGAUGGGGUGUCCAAGGUCAUCCCCCCCUCUUUUGGGCUACUUCCUCUGCAGCCCCCUAAUUGAGGGGUCCCAGUCCAUUCAGCAGAGGUCUAUGAUGGAGGAAAACAGAGGAUUUCUUGCUUCUUGGCUGAGGUGGGGGUGGGAGAAAGCAUUUUCAGGCCGUUUUGACAUUUAACAAACACUAUGCAAAUCGCAUGCAAAUCACAUGCAAAUAAUCACCCAUUUCUUAAACCUCGACAGCUCCAGCGUGUUCUGAAAUAAUAAUGUUGGACCUGUCCCUUGGCGUUGGCCUCGAGGAGGGGUACAAAGCCUUCCUUUCCUUCCCUCCUUUCUUCCUUCCCCUUCCCUUCCCUCUGUUUCCUUUCUUCCUUCCUUUCCUUCCAUCCCUACCUUCCUUUUUUUCUGUUAUCUCUUUACUCCCUUUACAUUAUUUGUUGAAGGCCUCCCAGUUCUGAGAUGAAUACAAAUAGCAAAAGUGGCUUCUGUAGUUCCCGCUUUCCAAAUGGGGAAACAGACACAGAGAAGCACAAGCCUGGCCUGAGAUUCCACAACCACAUUGUGGAAAGCGUCCCCCACCAAGUGCUGUUGUGGACCAACACUGGAUGGUAACUGCGACCUUAGGUGGAGAGACAACAGUGGCUGGAGCAAGCUUAACAGGGCUCGGAGGAACCAAGGAAAAUUGUCCUUGGGUUUCUUGGCCUUGAAGGGCAGGCUGCCAGGCUUGGAUCUGGAGAAAUCUGACCUUGACGGGUCUUACUCCUCAAGUCUUUCUUUCUCCAGCUACUCCAUCAGCAAACUCUGAAUUUGGCCCACAACCUCUCUGCUUAGUUUGCAUGCCCUACUUUUUCUGUUCGCAAACUCCUAUUCAUCCUUUGAAGCCCUAGCUCCAAUGCCCCCUUCUUUAUGCAGCCAUCUCUGAUCCUCCAAGAAGAGCUGCCACUUCUCUUUGGGCUUCUGUUGCUCCAGAUCUCUCUCUCUCUCUCUGAUCCAGGGCUGACCCUUUUGGUCCAGGGCUGCCCACUCUGGCUUGAUUCCAGCACUUGUCUGAUUAUUAUACACCUUGAAACUUGUAUUCUAAACCUAGAUCUUUUCUGAUCUUUUUCACCUGGCCUACUCCUACAUUUUCAAGGUCUGGCACUAAUGCCCACCUCUGUGUAAACUGUACAGCUCUCUCCUAGUUGGCUUCUGGGUCUACAGCCUCCAGCUCUCCUGGCUUGUUUCUGACCCAUGGAACGGGGAGGUGUGUGUGUCCUUCAAGUCUUAGGACUUGCCUCUGCAGCCCCAGGAUCAUCCAGGUUGGGACUGGGUACAGAGGGACUGAGUUGGAGUGUCUAUGAAUAAAUGAUUAAGUGUCUGGAAACAAAGCCAAGUUCACUCCCUAACUUGGCCUUGGGCUUCAACUCUCCAUGACAGUUCAGCCCUAAGUGUGCCCUUCGCCCUUCCCUCUCCCUCACCUCCAGGCUUCUGUACCUCUGCCAGGAAUGGUUUUCCCUUGACUCCUAUUUUGGGGGACCCCAAGCCAGCCCUUUCCCAUUUCUGGCCUGUGAAAAGGGGAGAAGCCCGCCCCCCUCAUGGCCUCUCACGAUCCUGACUCCACCCCAGGAGCAAGUCUGGGCUGCAAGGAGUUUCGGGUGAGACUUGGCAGCCACCCUCUCUCGCUGAGGCCUGCAGCGUCUGGGGAGGGGCCACCUCCCGCCUUGGCUGCCCACUGACUUUGUGCUCCCAGAAGUUCCAUGGGAGUUGUCCUGGGGGGAAAUAAAUCCAGGCGGGUCCCAGAGGAGGCAUCUAGGGCUCAGCCAGAAACUAUAGGCACCUGGACUUCCUGCUUUAGUUCUGCUCUGCACUCCCCCGACCCCCAUCCCCAGGACUCCAGGCUGGAUUCUGGUGUUUGCUAACUCUGUCCAUUAGCCCAACAGGCAUUUAUUGAGUGCCCUCUGUGUACCCAGUUCUGGCUGCCAGAUAUACUAAGACAGAUCCUGCGUUUGGCUGCCAUAGAUGGUGGAGCCAGUUGUUCACUGCACAAAAGCAUCCAGCUGAGGAAUUCCUGUCGUGGUGCAGUGGAAAUGAAUCUGACUAGGAACCAUGAGGUUGCGGAUUUGAUCCCUAGCCUCGCUAAGUGGGUUAAGGAUCCGGUGUUGCCGUGAGCUGUGGUGUAAGUUGCAGACAUGGCUCGGAUACUGUGUUGCUGUGGCUGUGGUGUAGGCCGGUGGCUACAGCUCCAAUUCAACNAAAAAAAAAAAAAAAAAAAAAAAAAAAAAAAAGCAUCCAGCUGGGGUGAGAGGAAGGGGGAAGGGGAAUCUUUUUGUAAUUCACACAAAGUCUCCUAUACAAGUUAGUGGUGGUCCUGACCUUGUUGCCUCUCUUUCUCUCUUUGUCUUCAUCUGUCUGUGUGUCCCACUUAGUCACUUUUUCACAUAUCUGCCCCCCCAUCUAUUACUCUGUGUGCUCCCUGCUUUUUUUCCCACACCCACGGCAUGCAGAAAUUUUGGGACCAGGGAUCAAACUCCCACCACCGCAGUGACCUGUGCCACAGCAGUGACAAUGCUAGAUCCUUAACCAUUAGGCCACCAGGGAACUCCAAUCUGUCUGUGUCUCUUGAACUCUGCUGCUCUACUCUCUCUACCUCUCCCUCUGUCUCUUUUUUCCUCCCUGUCUCUGGCAGUUUCUCUCUCUCCCUGUCUCUUUCUUUCUCUCCAUACCCCUGUAUCUGUCUCUCAUAUCCCCUCUCCAAAAGGAUACCCUUUUCCUCCAAUUUGCAGGACACUGAGGUGACCAGGACAUACACAGCAUGGCACUCAUGGUGACCAAGACACACACAGCUCUUGGCACUCAUGGGGCUUGAGGUCCAGCAGAAGAGACAGAAGUUGCAGGGUGGGGCUGCUCUUGGGAUCCUGGAAACCCCCCUCUCUGGGCCUCCGUUUGCCCACCUACCCAACUAGGGAGGUUUUUAGGGUGGCCGGGUCAGGAGCUGCUUGCUUGGCCUAGGCUGUUUGUUGGCAGAGAGAUUCUGACUCAUCCCCACGCCCAAAUGGUUUGAAAGAAUCCUCCCAGGGGAAAACAGUUGUAAGAAAAAACAAAACACAAAAUCAGAGUCACCAGCCCAGGCUGCUGUCUGACUCAAUGAGGGGUGAAAGUAUCUACAUUGCCAUCCCCCAGAUCAUCAGAGAAAUUUCCUGCCUCUUCCCCUGAUGGCCCCUGGCUGUCUACUGAAGGCUUCUGGCGUCACAAUGAUGACUCCAGGCCUGGCACUGGCCUCACACUUGUGCUCUGAGCUCCAGACCCACUUUACCCUGUGCCAGGGCCACAAGUGGAAGAAACUCUUUCCAGCCACAGGGCCUUUGCGUGUACUCUUUCUACCUCUGGAGGACUCUCUCCCCACCCCUCAUCUUUCAUCCUCUGAUUUUCAGGUUCAAUGUCACUUCCUUCAGGAGGCUCUAAACAAUCACGUUCCCUUGGUUUUGCAUUCACUCAUUAUCCUGUGAUUUUCCUUUGUAGCAUUAAUUAUUUAUAUUAUUAUUCAUUCAGUGUAUUAUUUUUCCUACUAGCCUCUGGGCACCAUGAAGGCUGGACAAGGUCUGGUCUGGUCACUGCUGGAUCACGCAGCACUUAAUAACCCAGAGUAAGGGAGUGGUAGCCAGAAACACCCUCCCUUCCCAGGCUCAAUGAGGACCCGCUGCCCCAGUUGUUGUCACUCCCGUGUCCAGCUCCAGGUGGCUGCAGGGCGCAGAGGUUUAGGAUUGGGAUUCCGGGCACUCUGGCUCCUGCCGCUUUGAUAAAUGGGGGAAAUUCAGAAUUAAUUAUUGACUGCUACACCGAACCAGCCUGAUCUGGACAGAUAAAGAGUGUCCUCACUGCUGCGUCUGUCCAAUAGUUCUAGGGAGUUUAUUAGAGGUCGGAAGGCAGCUGGCUGAGGGGACAGGUCCAGAAAGCACUGGAGCCAGAUGGAGCUGGGUGCAAAGACUGGCUCUGCUGGGCCACUUUGGGCCAUCGACUUUCCCUCUCUGAGCCUCGGUUUUCUCAUUUGGACAAAGGGAAGAGAAAACAUCCUUGUCUGUUGGGACAAAUUUGUUGGGGGAAUCACUUUGAGUUAAUAGAGUGUGCACACAGUGGGUAUCCAAUAAAUGUUGCUGAAUUGG
rnacentral:lncRNA from 1 species